GGAUUAGAUACCCUGGUAGUCCACGCAGUAAACGAUGAUAACUAAGAGUUUGCGAUAUGACAGUAAGCUCUACAGCGAAAGCGUUAAGUUAUCCACCUGGGGAGUACGCCGGCAACGGUGAAACUCAAAGGAAUUGACGGGGGCCCGCACAAGCGGAGGAGCAUGUGGUUUAAUUCGAUGAUACGCGAGGAACCUUACCCGGGUUUGAACGUGGUUUGACCGGCUCAGAGAUGGGUCUUCUAGCAAUAGCAAAUCACGAGGUGCUGCAUGGUUGUCGUCAGCUCGUGCCG
rnacentral:rRNA from 1 species